rnacentral:rRNA from 1 species
UACGGAGGGUGCGAGCGUUGUCCGGAAUCACUGGGCGUAAAGGGCGCGUAGGCGGCCUGAUAAGUAGGGGGUGAAAUCCUGCGGCUUAACCGCAGGGCUGCCUUCUAAACUGUCAGGCUCGAGCACAGUAGAGGCAGGUGGAAUUCCCGGUGUAGCGGUGGAAUGCGUAGAGAUCGGGAAGAACACCUGUGGCGAAGGCGGCCCCCUGGUUGGAUACUGACGCUGAUACGCGAAAGCGUGGGGAGCAAACAGGG